rfam:Myotis lucifugus cont2.27159, whole genome shotgun sequence.
GGAGGUUCUCAGGUGAUGCCCUCCAGAAUCAGGCUCCCUCCUCUCUGGUUCUGAGGUGCAUCACCUGAGAACCGCU